GCUAACUGCGGGCCGGCGGCGGGGGUAAGACGGAGGGGUGAAGCGUUAAUCGGAAUUACUGGGCGUAGAGCGCACGCAGGCGGUCUGUCAAGUCGGUUGUGAAAUCCCCGGGCGCAACCUGGGAACUGCAUUCGAAACUGGCAGGCUAGAGUCUUGUAGAGGGGGGUAGAAUUCCAGGUGUAGCGGUGAAAUGCGUAGAGAUCUGGAGGAAUACCGGUGGCGAAGGCGGCCCCCUGGACAAAGACUGACGCUCAGGUGCGAAAGCGUGGGGAGCAAACAGGAUUAGAUACCCCGGUAGUC
rnacentral:rRNA from 1 species